rnacentral:rRNA from 1 species
UACGGGGGGGGCAAGCGUUGUUCGGAAUUACUGGGCGUAAAGGGCUCGUAGGUGGCCAACUAAGUCAGACGUGAAAUCCCUCGGCUUAACCGGGGAACUGCGUCUGAUACUGGAUGGCUUGAGUUCGGGAGAGGGAUGCGGAAUUCCAGGUGUAGCGGUGAAAUGCGCAGAUAUCAGGAGGAACACCGGUGGCGAAGGCGGGUCUCUGGGCCGAUACGAGACGCUGAGGAGCGAAAGCGUGGGGAGCGAACAGG